UGACCUCGGAUCAGGUGGGGAUACCCGCUGAACUUAAGCAUAUCAAUAAGCGGAGGGAA
rnacentral:rRNA from 2 species